ensembl:lncRNA novel transcript
UUCCUUCAGCUUUUCCAAGUCCUGAGUCAGACACGUGUGCAACUCUGGGGUGAAAGACACCAGCUUCUUCUGCAGAUUACCUGUAUCAUUUGGGUUUGAAGCAUAUUCUGAUGUGUCUUUGUGAAUACCAGUUUAUUCUCAAGGAUUUUAGGUUGUCUUUUCUUUUCUUUUUUUUUUUUUUCUAUUUCGUUUAGAGCUUUUCUUCCUGAUGGCUUAUCUACCGAUCAAAGCAACUUCUACCUCACCAGCAGAUACAGAGGCAACUUCUUCCAUAGAUUUCUUCACCAGUUUUCCUUAGCUGUCUCCUUGGAAAGCAGAUACCAUGUCAUGGAAAUGCCAUAGGAAAAAAUGUGAGGUCUCCAGUCAACCGACCACAUGGAAUUGAAACCUGUCAACAAACAAGUAGUGAGUUUGGAAGCAGAUCCUCCAACCCCAUUUGAGCCUCAUGAGAGACCCUGAGACUAAAACACAAGCUAAGCCACUUCUGGAUUCCUGACAAACAGAAACUAAGAGGAGUCCCAUCAAAUUUUAGUCACAAAAUUAAAGGGGAAAAGGAAAAAGGAAGGAGCAGAAUGAUGCAGUAGAAGAGUCCACUGAUCACUGUCCCCCCACCGACAAGGACACCAAUUUAACAACUAUCUACACAGAAGAAAGACAGAAAGAAAGAAAAAAAAAAAAACACCUUCAUGAGAACCAGAACCAAAAAUCAGAUGAGCACUCAUAGUAGCUGGUUCUAACUUCACAAUGUUGAAAGAAGCACUGAAGAGAGAGAAAAAACACUGAAAUGCCUAUGCCACCCUGCCCCCACCCCCACCCUUCUGCAGUGGCAGCAUGGGACAGAGAGCAUCUCUGGGCCCUGGAGAAGAGAGAACACAGUAAUUGUGAGGCAAUGAACUCAGUGCUGUCCUGGUAGAUCAGAAAGGAAAUCUGGACCAAACUCAGCUAAUGCCCAUCCACAGAGGGAGGAUUUAAAUCAGCCCUAACCAGAGGGAAAUUACUUAUCCCAGCUACCUGAACUUGAGUUCCUGAAAACCUCCCCUCCAAAGGCUACAGUGCUCUGUGUCUCCAAGUAAACUUGAAAGGCAGUCUAAGCCAUAAGAACUGCAACCCUUAGGUGAGUCCUAGUGCUGAACUAGGCCCAGAGACAGUGGACUAGGGGACACGUCACAUACUGAGAUAUAAGCUGGGGCCACCAAGGGAAUGCUGGCAUUAUCCCUUCCCUAACCCCAGGCUGCACAGCUUGUGGCUCUAAAAGAGACCCCUUUCUUCCUCUAGAGAAGAGGACAGGGAAGAACUUUGUCUUGCAUAUUGGAUACCAGCUCAACCACAGCAGGAUAGGACACCAGUCGGGGUCAUGAGGAAGCAGUUCCAGGCCCUAGCUCCCAGGUGCCAUUUCUAGACACAUGUGCUGCCUUAAAGGAAAGGAGUCAGUCUUGACAGCAUUCAACAGCUGCUAACUGAAGAACCCUUGGACCCCGAACAACGAGCCUGGAUACCCAGAUACUAUGUCAAGUGUCUUGGGUAAGCCUCUGAGACUUGCUGGCUUUAGGUACAGCAUGGUCACAGGAGUGUAGAGCACAAAAGUAGCCUGAUGGUAUUCCUGAUUCCAGGACCUGACCCUUGGAUGGCAUUUCUGAAACCUGCCCUGAAGCAGAGGGGAACCCAGUACCCUGAAAGAACUUUUGGGAACUUAUUUGCAAAGAAGUCCCCGCCAUAAAGAUCUAUAAUCUUUUCAACAACCUAUUUGGGAAAAUGCAUGAUAGGGCCGUGAAAAACAUUAUGUUCUAAGACAAAGGCCUAAUAUUAUCAUGAGCAGCCUAGAGUGAUGGAGAGAACACUAAAUGCUGACUGGGUGCUGUUUUCAAUGUGAUCAUCAAGUGGCCAUGUGACCUUCAAUGGAUGCCAGCUUUCCAUGAGGCUUCAACUCCUCAUUAACGAAUGAGCAAAAUAAUACUUACCUCAACUUCUUUCUAGGGCUAUAGAGAAAAAAAUGUUUAGAAAGAAUGUAAUAUUUUAAGAGAGCAUAUUGUUCUUUAUUGCCAUAAUAAAAGUAAUCAUAAUCUACAUUAUGAGGAUCACCUUGGUAUAGUAUUAAGCAUGACACUGAGAAACAGGCGAUGAGAGUUUCAGUUAUGCCUUCUGAGUUUAUUAUUGGUUGACCUUGGAAAAGCUCCUUAACUUCUCUGCAUCUCUUUUGCUGCUUUUGUAAAAAGAAAAUGAAAAGACAAUACAUUAAUCAUGGCAGGAAACUGGAAAUUACAAUCUUUCCAGGUUAAAACCACAUGUUUUGAAGUAAAAUCUUUUAGUCUAAGAUUUUUUUAAGAUAAUGGAUAAUGAAUUUUCAAUAAUAAUAAUAGCAUAUUCUCAAUAAUAAUAAUACUUAAAUAUAUUGAACUUCUACAUUAUUUAGGAAAUAUGCUACUUUAUAUGUAUGUUAUUUAGUCUUCAGAAAAAAACACUCUGAGAGAUAUUAUUUUUGUCAUUUCACCACUAAGGAAUCUGAAUUUCAAAGGUUAAGUAACCUUAUCAAACUCAUAGAGAGACUAGCAAUAAGUUUGAGAUUUAAAUACAGUAUGAUUCUAAAGCACAGGUUUUGAACCAUCAUGUUCCAAUAUUCUCAAUAUAAUAUAAUAGCUCUGGGUAUGAAUAAACAGUUUCAGUUUGAGUCUGUAAAAGAUCAGUGGUAAUUCAAGAACAAAAACAAUUUAGUCUUUAAAAGACACAACAGUUGUGCCCUACAUGAUAUUUUACCCCUCUUUAUACUUUAUUUACACUGUGCCCAGCAUAUAGGAGCUGGAUGUUUUAUACUUGAAACAGGGUUAAUAGCACUUGGUUAUAUGAUUUGACAGUCAGCUUAUAUGUCCAUUCACCUCACUUGAGACUUCUAGACCACACUGCCAAAAUAUCCAUUUUAGUUAUGAGAAAAAAUAUAUUAGAGAACUGUGGAGAGAGGGAACCAAAGUUAGUUUAGGCAUGAAAUUGUUCUGAGCUGAGAAUUUUGCCCCUAGGAAUUUUAAGCAAAUAUGGAUCCACUCCUCCAUGAAUUAGAAACAUUUGUAGUUUCCUACAUAGUGCAGACCUGAGGAUUUCUUUUAUUCUUUUGUUCUUUAUUCUUUAAUUAGAAGAAUUAAAUUGAAUGGUUCCUGCGAGACUUAUGGCAGAUUGUACUUUCCAAUAUAGCUACAACAAUAUUUCCCAACACUUAUGCUCAACUGCAAUGUAAUCUUGUCUUUUGGAAACUGCAGAGGAUUGGAAAAUUGGCAGAAAAACAGUUGUAUAUAUUACAUGUCACAUGUUACAUGUUACAUGAUUCAGUCAUUGGGUGAGGUGACAGCAGAUCACAAUUUAUUUUUUCCUUAGCACUUUGAGACCUGACUCUACCUCUAAAAACAUUUAUUCAUAGAACAAGCAAAGCAACCGUAGAGAACUGACUACAGCCAAGAGUUGUUCUAAGAAGGGUAUUAAAAAGUCUUCACCUCCUACAUUCAGCUGGAGCAAGAACAAGGACAUUUUCUACUUUGGAAAUAGGAGCAAGAGUUCUGAGGGAAGAGCAACUGGUGCCAUUGGUCUCUGGCUUGUCCACUAGCUCAAAUUGUAGAUUUUUCUCCUUUUUACAUUUAAUGUCUAUGGGUUGAAAAAUAAACAAUUUAGUUCAGCUAUGUGGAUCGGCUAAAAAAAAUAAUGAAAGAGCAUAAUUAAAAAUGUACUGAAGUUACUUUAGAAAACAUUCAGCAGCAGUUGCCUAGAUUUUACUUUUUGCUGCACCUAUUUUUUUCUCAGAUAGAAGUGUAUACUCACAUCUAACAAAUAGCUUUUUGACAUUUUUGUUAACCAGUCACUGUACUAGAUGGCAAUGAGUGAAUCAGGAAGAUCUUCUCUACCCUCAUGUGGCUGACAUUCUAGUAGAAAACAUAAACAACAUUAAAUUACAUUGCAAGAAGUAUUUGGAAGUAAGCACUGAGUUCUCUAAGAGUAUAAAACAGGGAGCCAUAACCUAAAAUUGAGUUUGGAGGGCCAUUUUUUUUAAUGACAGUGAUAUGUAAUCAGAGACAAAGAAGAUGAGUAACCAUUGACAGGGUCAGGUUGAGAGGAGGUCCACAAUAAUUUCUGUCAGUGGGAAGAACAAGUAAAAAGUUCUUGCAGUGGUGGGGAGCAUGACACAUUCGAGCUAAUGAAAAUUAUUCAAUGGUUCUAUGAGGCAGAAAGCCAGAGGAAAUGAUCAGAAAUGAAUGUAGAGAGGGAGGGAGGAUCAUAUGCAGGGAUGUUUAGGCUUUGUUAAGAGUUCUGCACUUUAUCCAAAAUACAUGGAGAACCCAUUAAAGAGUUUUAAACUGAAGAAGAGUAAAACGGGAUUUGGUGUGUGUUUGUUUGCUUUGUUUUGAAAGACCAUUGCAGCUAUGUUGUGGAUAAUGGACUGGGGGAGGUAAGAGAAAAUGCUCCUAAACCACGAUGUUAGUUAGGAGGUUUGGUAGAACAGUUAAGCAAACAGGUAAUGGUGGCUUUGAUUAGGAUAGAGAAAAGAUAAUAGAUGCUAAAGUAUAUUUAGGAAGUAGAAUAAAAACGACUUAACAAUGAAUUGAAUGAGGAGUGAGAGUUAUUUUGGCAGCAAAGAUAAAUCCAGAUUAUUGGCAUGAAGGUUGAUGUCUUUUCAAAAUAUCAAGAAAUGUUUUGUGUUAUUUGGUUUGAAAUAACUAAAGACAUCUAAGUAGAGAUUGUAAGAAAUCAGUAGAUAGGGGCCAGCGGUAUAUUUUACACCAGAGGAAAAGUUGGGCAUGAAAAAUAAAAUCUGAAGAGGGCUUGAAACAAAAGCUUAUGGAUGCACAUAUAAAUGUAUAUGUGUAUAUGUUCGCACAUAUGUACUUCCCAGAUGAUUGUUGUAAUAAA